UGCCCGCCGUCUGAUGCAGGUGAUGGACACUCUAGGACCUUGCUUCAGACAGACGGUGACAGUGAGGAUGAUGGUGGUGACGGAGAUAAGGAUGGUGAAGAUGACGGGAUAUUGGUUGUAAGAAGCUAAUGAACUCAGGUGUAGAAACAUCAAGUUCCAGGGACAGAAGCAAGACGACGUUAACAACCAACACAAGAGGGACCUGUAACACCAGACUAUAGGGAACCAGAGCCAUCUUCUGAAGCAAGCCUGCCCACUUCUGAAUCCCAGGAGAGAAGCGUUCUGGCAACACGUUUGCUGCCUCCAAUAUAUUCCAAGUUAAAAUGUAGAGACAGAAUACUCAGGAGCCAUGAACCCCUGAGAGGUUUCAUGUCUCCAACCGGUUCUUUGGAGUCCAGGUUGCCUACACUUCCACGUGCCAGGU